GGGCGAGAUGUGUAGGUGGCUGCAUGGUUGUCGUCAGCUCGUGCCGUGAGGUGUCGGCUUAAGUGCCAUAACGAGCGCAACCUCAUCAUUAGUUACCAUCAGGUAAGGCUGGGGACUCUAAUGAGACUGCCAUCGUAAGAUGUGAGGAAGGUGGGGAUGACGUCAAAUCAGCACGGCCCUUACGUCCGGGGCGACACACGUGUUACAAUGGGUGGUACAAAGGGCAGCUACCUGGCGACAGGAUGCUAAUCUCCAAAACCACUCUCAGUUCGGAUCGGAGUCUGCAACUCGACUCCGUGAAGCUGGAUUCGCUAGUAAUCGCGCAUCAGCCACGGCGCGGUGAAUACGUUCCCGGGCCUU
rnacentral:rRNA from 1 species